UCCAUGGCUGCCUCUCUCCUGGUUGU
rnacentral:piRNA from 1 species